rnacentral:tRNA from 1 species
GGGGGCUGUGGCUCAGUGGUACAGCCUCUGCUUUGCAUGCGCAAUGCCCCGAGUUCGAUUCCUGACAUCUCCC